rnacentral:snoRNA from 1 species
AACCCAUGAUGAGGGCAACUUCGCAAUAAAUCCUUGUUUCUCUCCCAUACAUCAUAAAGAGUUUCUAGAUCCAUCUACACAAAAGAAGAAAUAUCAUUCCUCAAUUU